UACGGAGGAUGCGAGCGUUAUCCGGAUUUAUUGGGUUUAAAGGGUGCGUAGGCGGACUGUCAAGUCAGCGGUAAAAUUGAGAGGCUCAACCUCUUCCCGCCGUUGAAACUGGUGGUCUUGAGUGGAUGAGAAGUACGCGGAAUGCGUGGUGUAGCGGUGAGAUGCAUAGAUAUCACGCAGAACUCCGAUUGCGAAGACAGCGUACCGGCAUCCAACUGACGCUGAGGCACGAAAGCGUGGGGAUCAAACAGG
rnacentral:rRNA from 1 species